rnacentral:lncRNA from 1 species
GGCGGCGGCGGCUGCGCGGGGAGCGGCGAGCGGCGGUUGGCCGAAGGUAGAAGAUGACAGGUGGGCCCACCUGUUAGUGAGAGAGAGAGAAGAGGUUGAAAGCGUAUUCCCCCGAGAAUACGCUUUCCUGCGGAGAAAGCGUACUUUCAGAGAAAAAGAAUAAGAAUAAAAGAAAAAGAUUAUAAAAUACUUUUCAGGAUCUAAAAUUCACCCGGAAAGCCAUUUAAAUCAUUUAAAAUACCAAAUUGCUUCAGAAAAAUUCUCAAAAAUUCUAUAAGAUAAUAUAUUUCAUUUAGAGUCCAGGAAAAUUAUUCCCACUCAAAAAUAAAGUAAUAAAAAUAGUUUUA